rnacentral:rRNA from 1 species
GUCCCAGACUCCUACGGGAGGCAGCAGUGGGGAAUAUUGGGCAAUGGGCGCAAGCCUGACCCAGCAACGCCGCGUGAAGGAAGAAGGCUUUCGGGUUGUAAACUUCUUUUCUGAGGGACGAAGCAAGUGACGGUACCUUAGGAAUAAGCCACGGCUAACUACGUGCCAGCAGCCGCGGUAAUACGUAGGUGGCAAGCGUUAUCCGGAUUUACUGGGUGUAAAGGGCGUGUAGGCGGGAAAGCAAGUCAGAUGUGAAAUCCGGGGGCUCAACCCCCGAACUGCAUUUGAAACUGUUGGUCUUGAGUAUCGGAGAGGCAGGCGGAAUUCCUAGUGUAGCGGUGAAAUGCGUAGAUAUUAGGAGGAACACCAGUGGCGAAGGCGGCCUGCUGGACGACAACUGACGGUGAGGCGCGAAAGCGUGGGGAGCAAACAGGAUUAGAUACCCCGGUACA